rnacentral:lncRNA from 13 species
GGGAAUCUGACUCCAUGACCACCAGCAAAAUAUCAGAAGUUGAUAGAAUUGUUCCAGCCAGAAGGCUAGAUAAAGGUCACAUAUAUUGAUUCCAGGAAGAUGGCCAUUUAGGAUCAGCUCAGGAUUGCAGCUCCCAGUGAAAGCACAGAGGCCAGUGUUCCUCAAAUUUAUCUGUUUUUGAGCGUGACGUCUUUUAACUUCCCAAGUGGGGAAGUAUGGCGGAAAUUGUUUUGGAAGAUGCUGAGCUGGAAGAGGCCUCUUAAUCUUCUGAACUCCUGAAGUACUUUCUCUCUUCCUUGGAGAAAACAUGAAAUAAAAUAUUGCAUCUUGAACACAAAAUACUCCUUUUAGCAACUGCAGGUGAGUUUGAAUGAACUCUGAUACCUAGAACAGUUUGAUGGGAAAAGUAGAAAACAGCUAAAAAAAACGUUCCAUAUUUGGGUCUAGAAAUUUUACUACAAUAGUGGAGGAGCAUUUAGUUGUAGAUUUUCUUACUCCAAUAUUUUCUUGAGUCGAGUGCUGAGGCAGCCAGAGGAUCCAGAGCUCAACACAGACAACUCCUGUUUCUUCAAUAACCUUCACUGAUGUCUUUACAUGCAAGGUGGAGGAAAGACCCACAAAAUGAAACUGGUACCUCGUUUGGAAUUGUGGAGACCACUUAGCUUCUGCGUCUCUAUCACUGGGAGCUGUGUUCUGGAGCUGCCUCUUAUUCGACCAUCUUGGGAGCCUCCAGAAGAGAACUCUUAAAGAAACAAAUUUAAUAUGAAGGCAAACAUAAGUG